CUUCAGUCUUACACCAUCUAAAUAGACUGAGUAGAGCUUGGAAGUGCCAAAAUGUGAGAGAGAAACAGUGAGAAAGAGUGAAUAAGCAUCAAUGGCUGGAGGGAGACUGGUGAUGGAACAAGGAGAAAGCGUGAUGCUGGCAAUGCAUGGAAAAGGGAAAUCUCAAGCCAACAAGAAAGAGAAAGGUAAAAUACCUAUCCAAGCUGGUGCUGAAAUCAAGAAAGAUUAUAAGUGUUUCUUCUGUAAAAAGAAGGGACACAUGAAGAAGGAAUGCGCCAAAUUUUAAAAAUGGCUUGUGAACAAAGGGUUUGCAAAACCUAAAGAAACCAGUGGGAAGUGAGCAAAUUAUCUUAUCAGGAAACAAGAUGGGCUCGCAUGUGGAAACUAUAGGAACUUGCUAUUUAAUUUUGAGUAGUGGAUUUGUUUUGAAGUUAGAAAAGAC